rnacentral:lncRNA from 1 species
CAUAUCUAAAUAUUUUAUAAUUUCAAAAUUUGUUUCCAUGAUUAAAAUGAUUUUAAUCAUAUAGAUUAGAUAUUUUUCUUUUCAUACAAUUCAUGCUUUGUAUCAUAUACAACAAAUCCUAGGAUUUCAACAUCUAGAAUUUUGCAGAAAAAUAAGUUUUCUCCUUUCACUUUCUUCUUCAUGGGAUCUCACAGUGGCACCCC